UAGUAGACCUUGGUCUGAGCAUUUCUGCCU
rnacentral:piRNA from 1 species